GCUUUUUUAGGUUUUUAGGUUGGUAGAGCAUGAGACUCUUAGUCUCAGGGUUGUGAGUUUGAGCCCCACAUUGGGCA